UACGUAGGUGACAAGCGUUGUCCGGAUUUACUGGGCGUAAAGAGCGCGCAGGCGGUCGUGCAAGUCGCGUGUGAAAGCCCCGGGCUUAACCUGGGAAUGGCCAUGGAAACUGGCGAACUGGAGUGUGGCAGAGGGGGGUGGAAUUCCGCGUGUAGCAGUGAAAUGCGUAGAGAUGCGGAGGAACACCGAUGGCGAAGGCAGCCCCCUGGGCUAGCACUGACGCUCAGGCACGAAAGCGUGGGGAGCAAACAGG
rnacentral:rRNA from 1 species